AGGGGGGUGUUUCUACAAGGAGCAGCCUCGCAGUGAUUGCUCCACUCUGAGAGCUCUGACUCACCCAUUCCUCAGCCUCUGGGCUUAUUUUAGCCCCACGUUUCUGGAGGAGGAACUGAGAACAUGAUCAAGGAUCCCGUGGGAAGAGCCUGGGGCCCUCCAGUUCUCAUUGGGGGCCUCAGGCAGCAACUCAUAGCUCCAGCUGCUUUAGAAAUCUGCAACCAGGGGCUCCUGUAGAAUUGGGGCCACCAACCUGGCGGGUUACAGGUAGUAUCAUCUUCUGGUUACUCAUCUGUAUUCACCGCCAACUGCAAGGUCUACGAAGACACCAAGCAAGCCUUAUUAGGCAACUUCUAUAGCCCUCAGGAUACCCUCAGCUGUUCAUCUUUGGCCAUCCCUUCCUCCAGUGCCGUCUUCCCUCCGUGGACCAUCUCAUCCAUCCUGUGUCUCAGGAGGCAAGAUGACUUCCAGCUUGACAUCACCUACCCCUAUGUCCUUCCUGAGCUUCGGUGACUUAUUUAUGUGGAUAAUUCGCUGGAGAUCCUCACAGUCCCUCCACUGAACAUGGCACCGUUUGACUCUGCCAUCCAUGCUCCCACCCUUUUCCCCGUCUAUCCCUCACUCCCCAUGACCUGCUUCUUUGUCAGUCUUCAUUGUCCCAGCUCCUGCAGACCUAGUUGCCCAAACCAGCAACUGGGUUGACACCUUCUCUCAGCUUGCACCUCUCAUGCUGCCUGUUUACAACCAGCCCUCAUUUAUGUGCCUGUAUGUGGACUAGGAGAUAAACCUGUUUGUAAGAUUGUAAUGUGCUAUACACAUAGGGCAGAAUCAUAAUUAUAACUCGUUGAGCAAGAGAAAAAAAAGACAUCCAUCAGCCGAGCAUUAUUUGAGCCCAUUCCUGUAUCUCUCCCAAAGCGGGAGGAGUACUGAAUAAUCUUUAGUUCCCAUCCACUUAGUAGCUGUAGUAGAUCGUAAAAACAGACACAUGUCUUCCUAUCCCUGUAUUCUUGACCCCUGUGAGGUGAUCUUGCAACUUCUCCCAUCAAAAGGUGAGGCACUUCCCACUCCUUGAAUAUAACUUUGACCAUGUGAUUUGCGUUGACCAGUGAGAGAGUAGUAAAUACCACACAAACAUAGGUUGAAAAACACUUGAACAUUAGUACUUGCCUUUGUGGCUUUUGGAAAUUCUGUGACAGCUGCUGUAUGAAUAAGCCCAGGCUAGUCUACUGGAGACAUAUGUCCCAAUGAUCCCCAUCCCCCCACCAGCAGCCAGCACCAACUGUCUGACACAUGAGUGAGACAAGCCUAAAACAAUCAGUCCUCAGCUGACCUGUCCGUGGACUAUAGCUGCUUGAGUGAGCCCAAGCAAGACCAACAGAAGAACUACCCACAGGAUCUCAAAUCAGGUUGCCAACCCGCAGGAACAUGAGCUAAUAAAUCAUUGUGGUUUUUAAACCAAGUAUUGGGAUGGUUGUUAUACAGCAAACACUAACUAAUACACUAGCUGUGUGAUCUUGAGGAAGUAGCAUUACCUCUCUAGGUCUCAGAUUCUUCAUAAAUAAAAAGGGAUAGCAUCUCCAUCCUGGCCCACAGGACUGUCAUGAGGGUCAGUUGAAAUAUAAUUUUAAAAUCUCUUUCUAAACUGCGAUUAAUUUAUAAGCAGGGUGCUUAUUUUGAUAUAUUUAAUCAGCGUGUGUAUCCACCACUGUUUCAGGCUGUGUUUGCAGACUAUGCAAAGGGUAACUGUUCUUAGGCCCAGGGUCCCCAGAAGCCAUGGCCAGUUUUGAUUUGCUCAGUAAUGCACAUAGUCUGAAGAAAGAGACCCAUUAAUAUGUGAAUAUGGCACUAAUGAUAAGGUUCAGGAUAUCUGAGGUUACUGGACUCCAAGAGCAUGUCGGAACUAUUGGGGACUGUCCAGAAGGAAAGUGGGGUCCACCAUUUUUCAGAGUCCCCAAAGAAAUUUUUUAAAGACUGCCAAGAACCACAAGAGCGAGUGCCAACAUUAAGUGCUUUUCAACUAGUCUCUACCUUUUCAUAGGAGAAGCUGCAAGGUCACGUUACAAAGGGGCGAGAAAACAGGGUUAGGAAAAAUAUGCAUCAAAAUAAAGUUUGAAUGUUAAAUACUAAUAAAUAGCUUAAUACAUUACUUUCAUGUCGACUAUCUCAGCAAUCGUGAGAAAUUGGGUAUUAUCCCCAUUUUAUGAGUCAGGAAAUAAAACUUAGGGCAGAAUAGGAGGGGAGAAGUGGGCACUUGUUUUAAAAGAGCUGACGUAUUUAUUCUGUGUCUAGAUGCAGAGAGUAAAAUGCUCACACCCGCUGAGUGGCAGCAGGACCCACUGCUCCUAGGGGAGUGAGGGGGUCCCAGCUGGACUCCCACACCCCUAACCUCGCUGCCAGGAAGGUCCUGAAUUAGUCAUGAGCACUCUGGCAUCAGACACACUGGUAGAUCUAUUUAAAGCUAAAGAACUUGGGUUGAGCUGAGGACUGCAAAGAUACUUGGCUGGGAAGCUCAGGCACAUCGUGGAGAGGGAAUGUUGGUCGAAGCCACAUCUCGUUCUCUCUGUCAACUCAGCACCUAGCACAGGGCGUGGCGUAGAUGGAGGCACAUGGUGAAUGAGUGCGUAUUGGGAUAACUCCUUCUUCCUUUCACUCAUCAUUUAUCCCUGCAUCGUUUAAGCAGCAUUUUUAUGCACUUCUUAUAUGCCAGGCAGUGACAAUACACAAACACAUAAAACCUAGUGUUAAAGGUUGGAUUGUGUCCCCCUCAAAGAUAUUUUGAAGUCUUAAUCCUCCCCACCUGUAAAUGUGACCUUAUUUGGAAAUAGGGUCUUUGCAGAUAUAAUCAAGUUAAAGUGAGGUCAUCCUGGGUGACCAGUAGGGUGGAGCCUAAUCCAGUGACUGGUGUCUUUAUAAAAGAAAGGAGAGGGGGAUUUGGGCACAGAGACACAGGGAAGAAGGCCACAUGACAACAGAGGCAGAGAUCGGAGUGAUGCACUUACAAACUGAGGAACACCAAGGAUUGUGAACGACCAGAAGCUGGAAGAGGCAAGGAAGGAUCCUCUUCUCGGGCCUGCAGAGGGAGCUGGCCCUGAUACCUUGACUUCAGACUUCGUGAGAGAAUAAAUUUCUGUUGUUUUAAGCCAGUUUCUGGUAGUUUGUUAUGGCAGCCCCAGGAAAGCAAUAGAUGAGUCUUCCUCCUGUGGUGGAGGAGACAGAGGUAUUAACAGUUCAUUGUAUUACAACGCGUGACUUAGACAAUGGAAGUGUGUGCGAAGUGUUGUAAGACCACAGGGGAAGGAGUAAUAAACUCUUCCUGAAGGGACCAGGGAAGUCCUCAUAAAUGAAGUGAUAUUUGAGUAGGAUCUUAAAGGAUGGAUGAGCAUUCAUUAACCAAAAAAGUGGACAAGAAUAUUUCAGGAGGAAUUGACAGCACAUCCAAAGGAUAGUAGGCUUGGACCUGAAUGGCGUUUUUAGGGAUGGCAAAUAAUUUUGAAAGACUACAGCUGAGAGGGGGCUGGGUGUGAGGUUGGGAAUUUCCGCUGAGCCUGGAGCAUGAAGUGUGUAGGAACCUGAUUGCCAGGGGAGCCUCUGAGAGUAAUGCCAUCAGCAGAUCACAGAGAGAACUAGAGGUGAGACGGGAGGCAGGGCUCUGGUCAGGAGAUUGCUUAGUGCCAUAGUUCAUGCAAGAGAUGGGGAGCCUCUUGACCAGGAUUGUAGAGAGGACGGCUUGAUUUGGCCAAAUAGCCGGUCCUCAGAAUGGCCCAGAUAUGCCACAGUCUUCUCCCCAACUCCCUAUCCUCCACAUCAGAAUAGAUAUGACCAUUUAAGGAUAGUGUUUUCCCUUAUCCCUCAGCUUCAGAUGAGCAGUGAGAGUCAUAUUCAUUGCGGAGCUGUGUCUAUGAUGCUCUGCGAUGGUUAGAAAGUUCUGGUUACAUCUUUAUACCAAACUACAAAGAAAGAGUCCACUCUCCUGGAUUUAGAAUAAGAACACACUUUGUUUGCUACGAGUUUAGGAGACAGAACGUAGGUGGAUCGCUCCAUCCAUUCCUCCCCACAGUUCUUGCCCAUGGCCCACUAGAACGAUUCCCAAAACUACCUCUACAGCCUUUGAGGGGCUGCACGUUGGGCCAAUUAAAUUUCUCCACUGUAUUUAUUAAUUUGCUGAAAAAAUAGGGGGGGAAACCCCUCUAGACUCUAUGUAUCUUUUAUUAAGGAAUUAAAAGAAGAGCGUAAAGAAUAUUUCUGCUAGGGACUCAGGAGGCUGGAUUUUGUGAGAUUUGGCUCUGGGAAUAAAAUGCUAAGUGGAUAGAGGAGGAAAAUACUGUGAAAGGUAUAGAAGAGAUUAAAAAUCAACUUUGAGCCUGUAUGAGGUGCCAAACAACCUCAAAUUCAUCAAAUCACUAAACUCUCGCAACAUAUCUCCACAGUUGGUAUUACCACUUCCACUUCACAGAUGCAGAAAUAAAGGUUCAGAGAGACUAUACCUCCCUCCAGAGCCACACAGCGUGGAAGGGGCAGAGCUGGGAUUCGAAUCCUUGCUGAUCACUUCCAAAGUCUUUUCCCUUCAUUGCACUACCACCCAGAACCUGGUCCAGGCCAAGGAUGGGAUGGCUCUGGCCUGGUCUUCUCCAGGCAGGCACAUGUGGGCUCCCUUCUGGGCAUCAAAUAGAUCUGGAGCAGAGUCAGAGGAGAUUGAGCAGAAGUUGACUAUGUUUGUCAUAUGAGAAGUGAUAGCAGGAACUGGAGACUAUUGGCUUCGGGAAGAGAAAACUCUGGGGAUGCGACAGCUGUCUUCACAUAUUUGAAGGGCUGCCAUGAGGAAGAGAGAUUAGACUUAUGCUGGAAGGCCUCUGGGGGCAGAAAUAAAGGUGACGGAUGACAAUGACAGGCAGUCAUACGUCAGCUCAAUAAAAGAGCGACUCUCCCACCAGGCAGAACUAGAAAGAUGGGCUGUCUUGGGAAGACAAGAGCUCCCUGUUGUCAGGGUCUCCAAGAACAGGCAAGUUGAUUCUGUGGUGGCAAUGCUGCGGAAGAAAUUCAAGGAUUGAGGAGCAAGAGAACUCGGUUCUCUGAAAGGCCUCUGAUAGCUCAGAGAAUCCAAUUUUGUGGUCUAUUUAUACUCUCAGUGCCCAAAUCUGACUUCAAAUAACUGCGCAAUUGGUAACUCUAGCGCCAUACAUUCCAUACCCCUAAGUAACUUUACUGGAAAUAAAAGUCACAGUCUUUACAAUGUCCUACAGGGGCCUACAUGCUACAGCCCCACCUCUGUUCUUGCACUCCAGACGAGAUGGUCUCCUUGCUAUGCUUCAAACAGUCCAGAUGCACCCGACCCUAGGAAAUUUCCCGUGGCUGUUCCUUCUCAAAGCACACUCUUCACCCAAAUAACCCUGUGAUUAUUUCGUCUCCCUGGCCCCCUUCAAGUAGUUGCCCAAGUGCCCCAGUCUCAAUGACAGCUUCCUUGAGAAUUCUGUUGAAAAUUAUUUCCCACCUGUACAUCCCACACCUCCAAUUCCACCUUAGUCUGCUCAAUUUUUUUCAUGGCGUUUAUAAUUUUCUAACAUGCUGAAUCUUUUGCUUAUUCAUCAUGCUAUUAUUUGUUGCCCACCUCCCCUCACUAGGACGCAAGCUUCCCAAGGGCAGGAAUUGUUUUACCAUUUUGUUCACAGCUGACUCCCAAGCACAUAAACAGUGUCUGACACAAAGUAAGUGCUCAAUAAAUAUUUUUGGAAUGAAUGAGAUUUCCUUUCGUUCUCACGCUCCUUCUUGGGAGAAGGUUUUUGGUAAGCCUAAGAGGCACACCUACCUAGCAUGAUAACACACCUAAAUUCAGCCGGGAACGAUGGUCAAAGUCAGCAAGGAGAGUUGUCUUAACAGAUAUUCCAUUCUGCAGAAAAUGGAAAACUUAUUGUCUGCUCCAAUGAUGAGCUGAAUCUGAAGGAUUUGUGAUGUCCUAGGUUAGAACCAGAUACAGUAUAGAGGACAGAGGGAUUCGUGGGGAAGUAGAUGGAGAAAAAUCAUAAAAAGAAGAGAAUUCCUAGAAACUCAUCCACGGUGCCCUCAGCAUGGAUGUAACUGUCAUUAAUCAUUUAAUGGGAGCUUAAUAUGUGCCACACACUGUUUUAAACACUUGACAAGGAUUGUUUCACUCUUCAAUCAACCCUAUGAGACAGGUCUAUUGUUACCCCCAUUUUACAGACACGAAAAAUGGGGCAUGGCAAGUUAAUUAAUGAGCCCAAAGUCAUACAGCUGCUAAAUCCUAAAUCCUAAAUCUUAAAUGCCCUAGCACAGCCGGGGAUUCAAGGCCAGGUAGCCUGGUUCAGAAGCCUGCACUCUUAGCUAUUCAGUUCCUCUGCCUGAAAAAUAUAAAGAACAAUUAAGCACUCGUCUCUGAAUUUUAUGUGUAACUGUGAUUGGCUAAUAGUAAGACAUCUUCCUGGUAUCGACGGUGCCUGUGCAUAGUCUGCCAAGAGCAUGGGCUGCCCCAGGUGCUUAACAAAGCUGUCCCGCUGUCUGUGACUCAGAUGCUUCCUCAAUGGUGUAGCCUUCAGCCCGAGACAGACUUCCCACUGUCACAGACAAGACAAAAACACUAACAUUUGGACAGCGUUUUAAAACUUAGAAAUAUUUUCAUUUGAUCCCUCACAGCAAGUAUGUGGAGUAUUUAGGCAGUCUCUUUUAAACAGGAGAAAUCUGACAGACACAGGGGACUCCACCCCCAUCAUCUGGCCCAAGGUCCGAUGCUUUUCUGAAUUACACCACGUUGCCUUCAACUCCAGGUUGUUGUCUGCAGCACGCCACCCUCCAGAAUCCCCACUAGUCUAUUAAAAAUCAGAUACUGUCUCUGUACCAUUGACCUUAGAUUAGAGACAAGUUGAGUAUGAUGCACCUAUAUUUAGAUCUUAAUUUCUAGGCUUCAAAUGUAAAGUUAGUGAAAGAUAUAUAUGUGGGCCUAUUUAUUCAAAGGAUUUUUGUUGAUUGCAUACAAUGUGUUAGGCCUGUGCUGUCCAAUAUAGUUGCCAUUGGCCACAUGUGGUUUUUGAGCAGUUGAUAUAGGACUACUAUUACUAAGGAACAGAAUUUUUAAUAUUAUUUAGUUUUCAUUACUUUGAAUUAAAUUUUUUCC